rnacentral:tRNA from 1 species
GGGGUUGUAGCUCAGUGGUAGAGCGCGUAUGUUCCUCUGCGGCGGGAGGUCUUGGGUUCAAUCCCCAACAGCUCCA